GAGGAGGAGGAGGAAGAAAAGUGUAUGUUAGACGAAAUGGGCAGGGAAGAAAAGAAAGGGAGGGGAAACGAGACAAACUAAGAGAGAAAGAAGUGAGGAGACCGUUGGAUUGGGAGGGAGGGAGCAAGGGGAGUGAACGGGAAGUAAGGGGCAGGAUCAGCUUUAAGGCCGAGGACGAGGGGUAGCGGGUCACAUCGAUAUCUUUUCUGACCUACGAGUUCUGCAGGUCAGGGAGACUGCCUCGUGAGUGUGUCUUUUCACCAUAUCCUUAAAGAUCCUUCCUCUUAUCAAAAUUAAGACAGGGAGACUGGAGGACGAUUGAGAGCAUUAUACCAAGUUAGUGAAGAGAGGUUAGGUUAGGCAUUGUACCAGGUUAGUGAAGAGAGGUUAGGUUAGGCAUUGUACCAGGUUAGUGAAGAGAGGUUAGGUUAGGCAUUGUACCAAGUUAGUGAAGAGAGGUUAGGUUAGGCAUUGUACCAGGUUAGUGAAGAGAGGUUAGGUUAGGCAUUGUACCAGGUUAGUGAAGAGAGGUUAGGUUAGGCAUUGUACCAGGUUAGUGAAGAAAGGUUAGGUUAGGCAUUGUACCAGGUUAGUGAAGAGAGGUUAGGUUAGGCAUUGUACCAGGUUAGUGAAGAGAGGUUAGGUUAGGUUUGACCAGGUUUUAUAUUUGCACUUCGUCUCUUCAGGUUUAAUUUGGUUAUGUUUGGUUUUAUUUCUCACAGUUUCGUUUGGUUUUACUUUUUGUUGUUGUUCUUGUAUUGGCUGUUAUUGAUUGCGCUUAGUUUGGUUUUGCUUGGUUUGUUUAUGUUGAUAUUUGCCUUUUUUCUUUGGGGGGGGGUCGUAAGGAUUAAUUAGUUUAGGUUUUUGUUUAAUUGCUCUCAGUUUCGUAUAUCUGUUCCUUAUUUUAGUUUCUGUAUUGACUUUUUAUUGAUAAAGUUAAGUUUGGGUUGGUUUGGCUUGAUAAUUUUCAUAAGUUAGCUUCGGUCAAGGUUAGAUAAGGCAAGGUUUAUCUAAAUGCGGUAAGCCUUGUGUGUUGAUAAGUGUGGUUUGUUAAUCAGUUAUAUUUUAUUAGGAAGCUUCGGUCAGGCUAGAUAAGGUUGGCUCUCUGUGGAUUUUUCUAAAUGCUGCAAUAGUUUAUGUGUUGAAAGGUGUGGUUUGUGUGUGUGUUUGGCAAGUGAGCUGCGUUGGGGAAAUAAAUACGAAGAGCAAAUAAUGAUAACUUGAAAUGUGAGAGGUCGGUUCUGGUGUAUGAGAGAGGGGAAGGGAAGGAGGGGAUGAGUUGGGACUAGGCAGAGAGGAGGGGAGGAGGGGAUGAGGACAGAGAGGCUUCAAGGGGAGGGAGGGUCUUGAAGGGGAGGAAGGGGCGAAUUGGAUAGGAGGGGUGAUGCUGGGAGGAAAGACUUUAAGGGGAGGAGGAGGGGUUGAAAGGGGAGGAGGGAGAGGACAAGGAGGGACUUCGAUGAGAGGAAGGAGCGAGGAUGGGAGGAAGGGGUGAGGCAGGGCAGAAGGAGAGGACGAGGAGGGACAUGAAGGGGAGGGAGGAGGCGAGGAUGGGAGGAGGGCGAAGUGGGUUGGCACAGGGAAAGUAAAUUUGCAAACGUGUGUGUGCGUUUUCGUGAUUUCCGUGUUUUACAUCGAAAGGCUGAAGAGGAGGCUGAAUGGGACGAAAAUCGAGUGUUCUAAAUCACCGGGUAACACGAGGUAAAAUGUUGUCGAAUGGAAAUAUAAGAGGAAUGGAAAAUGGAAUAAUGGAGACCUGGAAGCCUGUUCGUAGCAGAAUAACAAUCCUUUGGGGCGAUAUUCUUCGAGUGAGAGCAUAUUGGAGUAACAGUUUUCUAGUAACGACAUUUUUGGGUUAACAUUUUCCAUUUAUAUAAUCAUUUCGGAGUAACUUUCUCGAAUAAGAACAUUUUGAAGCAACAUUUUUUCCAUAUAAUAAUUUCGGAGUAACAUUUUUUUGAGUAGCAACAUUUUGGAGUAAAACUUUUUUUAAUACCGUCAUUUUCAAGUAUUUUUUAAUAACAUUUUGAAGUAACGUUUUUCGAGUAGCAGAAUUUUAGAGUAACAAUUUUUCCAUUAACAACAUUUUAGAGUAACGUUCUUUUUCGAAUUUUGGAUCAACAUUUUUCGAGUAACAACAUUUUUGGGGUAACCUUUUUUAAUAAGAACAUUUUGAAGUAACAUUUUCGACAAGAAGAAUCUUUUGGAGUAACUUUUUUGGAACUGACAUUAUAAAGAACAUUUUUCGAAUAAGAGCAUUUUAGAAUUAUCAUGAUUUUCCGCGCCGUCUCUGGCCUUGCCCUCACUCACUCACUCGGGGCUUUAAAAGAACAAGACGUAAAUAAAUGUUACUGAAUUUUAGAGGAACAUCUAAAAAAAAAAAAGUGCAUUAUGGCGGACGUAAUCCCUCACCUUUCAUCAUUCCUUUCCCCUUCUGCCUUUCCAACCUCUCUCCCUCUCUCUCUCGCUCUCUUGCUCUCUCUUUCUCUCUCCCUUCCUUCCUUCCUUUUCCCGUCCUCGUCCAACCCAUCCCCUCCUCCGCCUCUGCCUCCUCCUCUUCCUCUUCCGUCAUUAUUUCCACCAUCCACAUCUCUCUACCUCCUGGCCUGCUUCCAAAUAUUCACUCGCACACGUUUCAUUCAAUAUUGCUGUAACUUUAAGUGAGAUUCUGUUCCUACGUUAAAAGGGGAGAGACUCUUCCUCCUCCUCGUCCUCCUCCUCCUACUCCCAUUUUCUUUCCAUGUAACGAAGGGCUUAUGAGGGAGCCAGAGAGGGUGGGUGUAACUAUUUUUUUUCUUUCACUCAUUCACUGGUGUUGGUCUCUCUCUCUCUCUCUCUCUCUCUCUCUCUCUCUCUCUCUCUCUCUCUCUCUCUCUCUCUCCCCUAUAGAAGGUGCGGCUAAUUUUCUCCUUAAGCCCUUGAAACUACAGGCGCCGGGCUGGUCUAGGCUUGGCCGGGCUCUGGGCGAGGCAGGGCGAGGCUACGUUACUCUUUUUUGUCAUUAACUCAUUUUCAGCGUGAGUUGUUUUCGUCGCCCGCGUGACUUAAUGGAUUUAGGGCAAGGGUGAGGUGGUGAGGAGAGGGGGGGAGGGGAUGAGAGUGAAGGAGGUAGGGGGUGAAGGGGUAGGGGGAGGAGGGUGAAUAGGGGAUUGGGGAAGGGGAUGAGAGUGAAGGAGGUAGGGGGUGAAGGGGUAGGGGGAGGAGGGUGAAUAGGGGAUUGGGGAGGGGCGUGGUAUAGAAACGUUUCCCGGAGUGUGAUUCUCUUCCCAUUACGAUCUGAGAGAACUGGCUUCUGUUCGCAGGGGAAGAUAGCGGAGGGUCGAUUUUUUUUCUUUAUUCCUCUUCUCCCUUUCGCUUUCUCUCUAUUUGUCUAUGUCUAUUUAUCUAUCUCUUUCUCUAAUUACUCGUUUUUUCGUUCUAUUUAUCUAUCUUUGUUUCUCUAAUUACUCGUUUUUUCGUUCUAUUUAUCUAUCUUUGUUUCUCUAAUUACACGUUUUUCGCUCUAUUUAUCUAUCUUUGUUUCUCUAAUUACUCGUUUUUUCGCCCCUUCAGUAUCACCUUUCCCCCCUUUUUUUUCUCGUAACCUUCACUCACUCAUAUAAAUCAUCUCUAUCUUUUCACCUAUUUAUCUAUUUAUAUCUACAUUUAUUUUCUUAUCUUCCUGUCUUGUUUACAUUUCUUAGCCCUUUUCAUUAUCCCCUUUCUCCGUUUUUCCCCGACUCGUUUUUGUUCAUUUUUCCCCUUUUUGCCUUUACCCAAGCUUUCCAACAUCAUAUUACUCUCUAUCACAAGCCUCUAUUUAAUAUUCCAUUCAUCCUCUUACCUUUCAUCCACCCACUCGCCUUGCUAAGUCAGUAUUUUUCCUUGCAUAUUAUUUUUACCGUCAUUUUUUAAGCCUCUGUUCUCCUAUAUGCUUUCCUGCCUCCCACACACACUCUCUCUCUUUUGAUCUCCCUCCUGUUCUGUUUCUUUCACACACCGCUCUUAGUUCUUUCCCUCACGCCUUUUUCUACGGUUUUUUCCACUCGUUGCUUUACUGCCUCUUCUCCCGUUCCCCUCUUCUCUUUUUCCUCUAAUUCCCUCAUCCGUUUACCUCCUAACUUAUCCUUAUGUUCCAGUAUCACAUUUAUCACCCAUUCUUUCUUCAUCUCUUUCGUCCUGUGUACCUCUUCUUAUGUCAUCCAUUACCCUCUCACGUAUCCUCCAUUAGCCCUUCUCUCUUAGUGUCUUUUGUUGUCUCUCUUCCUUUAUCCCUCUUCCUUUCCCAUAUCUUUCCCCCAAUCCCUUCCUCUCUUCAUCAGUCCAUCUCUAUCCUUCCAUCCUCUUUCCUCUCCUCUCAUCCUAUCUUCAUCACAAUCUUCAUACUCCCAGCGGCCUCCCUUCCCCUUUCCCACCCUUUUUCCUCCCCUCCCUUCCUGUCUUCAUCAGCCCAUCUACAUGCUCCCAACAGCCUCACCUCCGUCCCCUCCCCUUCCUCGCCCCUUUCUCCUCCCACGCACACCCUCGCCCCGCUCGCCCGCCGCCACCAGCGCCUCUGUGUCUGCCGGCGCCGCGCUGAGGAUCCUGUAAACUUUCUCCUCCUUCUCGCCAGACAAACUAUCUUACUUUCUUCCUGAGCACUGCAUUGAUCAGCUCCGAGACACACACACAUACACACACACACACACACACACACGCACACUCACACAGAACAAGAAGCUACGUGACUGGGUGGUUGUAUAUGUCUGAGUGUGUGUGUGUGUGUGUGUGUGUGUGUGUGUGUGUGUGUGUGUUUGUGUUUGUGUUUGUGAGAAGAUAAAAUACUUCUUUUUUUUCUUUUUUCAUUCUCGUCUCUAUCUUUUUUUCUGGUGGGUUGUGUUUGUGGAAGAGGCAAAAAAGAGAUCAAAUACUCACAUUUUUUUUAUAUUAUCAUCGCUAUCUUAUCGCGUGUUUGUGUAUGUGUUUGUGAAAGAGACAGAAAGAUAUAAGAUCCGCACUUUUUUUUUUCAUUCGCGUUCUCUUUUCGUUUUUCUGUCUUUCUUUCCCUCGGUGACUUAUUCCUACUCCUAGCAAUGACAACCAACUUUUACAACUCAUUUCCUUCCCUCCUUCUUUCUUUCCCUCUACUCGUAUCUCUUUUUUUUCCCUCCUCCUCCUCUUCCUCCUCAUAUGCCUCAUCCUUCCUUCUUUCCUUCUAUUUCUCCCUCUCGUUUUUCAUUCCCACUCCUCCUCCUCCUCUUCCUCCUCUUUGGCUCAUUCACAUCGCCGUUAAAAACCUUCCUCUCAUCCUUCUAUCUUCACAGAACUCCCUAGUAUUUUUCUCUCCUUCCCUACCUCUCUCUGGACCUCUCUCUGGUAGCUCAAAGUCGUCUCUUCAAACCCCCAACUCAACGCCUACAAAUGGCUCAAUAUUUUUCACCUUUUUCCUCGGCUUGAGUGACGGCCGUACAAGCUGCACCAGGGAACGGCGGAGAGUGGAAUGCAAGACCCCGUGAAAAUUAGUUUUAUACACACGGCAUCAGUCAGCUGUCAGCGAGAGAGAGAGAGAGUGAGAGUGAGAGAGAGGGAGUGGGAGAGGGAAAGGAGGGAGGUUGGGUAGUAAUUCCGUUUCAAGUCUACAAAACGCAGAUUCGAGUAAUGGGAACAGUUUGCUUAUGACGAAAGGUGACGUGAUGAUGAUGAGGGAGAGGUCGAGAGAGAGGAGGAGGAGGGAGAGGAGGCUGAGAAAGAGUAGAUGAGGAAAAAAACGACGAGGAGGAGGAGGAAACAGAAGAGGAAAAAUAAGCUGUACUACAUUGCGAAAUGAAACGAAAGUAAUUAGGAAGAAAACAUUGAAGAGGGACAGAAGGAAUUUGUUUGAGGAAUUAAAAGAUGUUGAUGGAGAGAAGAUGAGGAAAAUGGACGACGUGGAAAAUGAGGAAACAAGAAAGAAAAACUGAACUAAAUGACGAAACGAAACAAAAGUAAAUAGGAAGAAAACAUAGGAAGAGGGAAAAAAUAACAGUUUGCUAAAACAAGAAAAAAAAGUCAAGCGGAGGAAAAGGAUUUAAGAAGGGAAAAAGCAUCAGUGUAUCCGUUGAUGGUAAAACAAUAGACUGUCAACGGAAUAAGAGGAUAACAAGGACAUGAAGGACAAAGGGUGUUGGAUGGCACGACAGGAGCGUUUGGAAUGCACUCGGAGGAUAGAAAAUAAGUCAUGAGCCGCGGAACUGAAUCGUGUUUAAGCAAAGACGAGACCGAGUUUGCGAAUUCCGAUGAAAACGAGAAACUGAGAUGAAGCGUCGUAAAAAAAUAUUAAAGAAACGAAGCAAACUUAGGGAAAAUAGAAGU